AAUGAGUAUAGCCUAUUAUAAUUACAAAUGACAUUCCAUCAUGUGCAUGUACUGUAACUUUGUCAGUCUAUUUCCCUGGCCAUUGGGCCUGUUUCCAGUCUUCAUUAUUAUGAAGAAGGAGCACAUGUACAGCUGUGUCUUCUGGUGUGUGCUCCAGACACCUGUGGGGCAAACCAUCAACAGUAUUCGCGGCUCUUCCCACCCUUGCCUACACUUGGUGCUGUUGGACUCUACUCUUUGUCAUGCUCACAGUUGAGAGAACACAGUGCGGUUUGUGUCUCCUUUCAGCUGUUGAGUCUCCUCAUCUGCAGACUGCUUGUUCAUAUUCCUCUUUUCUUACUUUGAUGGUUUAUUUUUGUCCUGAUUUAUACGGCUCUCUGUUCUGUGUGAAGAGCAAAACCUUCUCCUAGUUAAAUUUCUCUUUUGUUUUUCCCCUUGUUUUGAGAUCAUAAACAUAUCCGAACUUUUCUUCCAUUUCUAUUCAAGUUGUAUUUUUCACAUUUAGGUAGCCCAUCAAAGGAGAUGGUUGUUUGGGUCAAAAUCUAACUAUUGCCCUGUAUGAAAACUCAAUUGUCCCAGGGCUUUUAAUGAGCAGUUUGUUCCUUCCCUGUAAAAUAACUAGCUAACAGUCGGGAGUUCCAGAGUAGAGGGAAAGAAUGCAGGGCACAGCCUGGGUGACCCCACUGUAGCCAGGAGGGCAUCACAAAACAGUAAGAUGAGAAAAGCAUUUCCCAGAUGGAUCCACCUCAGAAAGAAAAACAAGGCUAAUUAAGUUUAUCAUAAAAUCAAACUUGUUCCUUUUGAAGGACCAUUCUUUUGUUCUUUAGUCAAAUGAUGGUAACAAUAACUAGAGGCAUUUCUUAUUUAAACAACCUUUCUUGACAGGCCAAAAAGAAAUGGUACCUUUGUGUCUGUCACGCAUUUGUAAGUGUUUCCCGGACUGUGAAACGAGUCAAAUGCGAGGCCCACAGGGCCCCUGGACAGCCUGAGGUGUUCUGUGCGCUGAGGGUUGGUCUCACCAACAGGGCAGUAAACAGUCCAGCACCAAGUCUCACUGUUUCAGACUAUGACUGACUCUGACAAAGGAACUAAUGUUUUCUUCAAAUACUGGACAACAUGAUUUGGACACAAAGAGUAAACAGAUUCAGCAAUGGAAUGAGAAGAAAUACAAAGUUCAAGUUACUGUGAAGAAAGCAAAGAAUACAGAGGAACCAGAAAAUAAAAUAGAGGAGAUAUUUAAUCAAAUCCUCCAGACUAUGCCUGGAAUUGCUACCUUCUCAUCCAAGCCACAACCCAUUAAAGGAGGAAAAGUUAUAAUGGGUGUUCUUUGUUCAUCAUUUGAGCAAAAAAGAAGAGACUGUAUAUAGAGAGACUCAGCAGACCCAGGAAGGAGACCCUUUGAACAA